rnacentral:rRNA from 1 species
GACGAACGCUGGCGGCGUGCUUAACACAUGCAAGUCGAACGGAAAGGCCCUGCUUUUGUGGGGUGCUCGAGUGGCGAACGGGUGAGUAACACGUGAGUAACCUGCCCUUGACUUUGGGAUAACUUCAGGAAACUGGUGCUAAUACCGGAUAGGAGCUCCUGCUGCAUGGUGGGGGUUGGAAAGUUUCGGCGGUUGGGGAUGGACUCGCGGCUUAUCAGCUUGUUGGUGGGGUAGUGGCUUACCAAGGCUUUGACGGGUAGCCGGCCUGAGAGGGUGACCGGCCACAUGGGGACUGAGAUACGGCCCAGACUCCUACGGGAGGCAGCAGUGGGGAAUAUUGCACAAUGGGCGGAAGCCUGAGGCAGCAACGCCGCGUGCGGGAUGACGGCCUUCGGGUUGUAAACCGCUUUCGCCUGUGACGAAGCGUGAGUGACGGUAAUGGGUAAAGAAGCACCGGCUAACUACGUG